GAGGGGCAAACGGGGGAGUAACGCGUAAACAACCGGCCGUAAAGAGGGGGACAACAGUUCGAAAGGACGGCUAAUACCGAAGGUUGUAAAGUUUCCGCAUGGGAAUCCUACUAAAGGUGGCCUCUACUUGUAAGCUAUCGCUUUACGAUGGGUCUGCGUCUGAUUAGCUAGUUGGGGGGGUAACGGCCUACCAAGGCGACAAUCAGUAGCCGGUCUGAGAGGAUGAACGGCCACUUUGGAACUGAAACACGGUCCAAACUCCUACGGGAGGCAGCAGUGGGGAAUCUUCCGCAAUGGGCGCAAGCCUGACGGAGCACCGCCGCGUGAGUGAAGAAGGGUUUCGACUCGUAAAGCUCUGUUGUCGGGGACGAAUGUGGAGAUGGUGAAUAACCAUUUUCAAUGACGGUACCUGACGAGGAAGCCACGGCUAACUACGUG
rnacentral:rRNA from 1 species